rnacentral:rRNA from 1 species
UACGGGGGGGGUAAGCGUUGUUCGGAAUUACUGGGCGUAAAGGGCUCGUAGGCGGCCAACUAAGUCAGACGUGAAAUCCCUCAGCUUAACUGGGGAACUGCGUCUGAUACUGGAUGGCUUGGAUUCGGGAGAGGAAUGCGGAAUUCCAGGUGUAGCGGUGAAAUGCGUAGAUAUCUGGAGGAACACCGGUGGCGAAGGCGGCAUUCUGGACCGACAUUGACGCUGAGGAGCGAAAGCAUGGGGAGCGAACAGG